rnacentral:rRNA from 1 species
CCCUUAGAUGUCCGGGGCCGCACGCGCGCUACACUGAAGGAAUCAGCGCGUCUUUCUCCUUGUCCGAAAGGACUGGGUAACCCGCUGAACCUCCUUCGUGCUAGGGAUUGGGGCUUGUAAUUCUUCCCCAUGAACGAGGAAUUCCCAGUAAGCGCGAGUCAUAAGCUCGCGUUGAUUACGUCCCUGCCCUUUGUACACACCGCCCGUCGCUACUACCGAUUGGAUGGUUUAGUGAGAUCCUCGGAUUGGUCCCGGCGCGGCCUCUGGUCGUGCCGGAGUGCCGAAAAGAAUGUCGAACUUGAUCAUCUAGAGGAAGUAAAAGUCGUAACA